rnacentral:piRNA from 1 species
UCAUAAAACUAGAGGAAGGUCAAGUC